GAGCUCAAAUUUGAAAUCUGGUAGCCUUCGGUUGCCCGAGUUGUAAUCUAGAGAAGUGUUUUCCGUGCCGGCCCAUGUACAAGUCCCUUGGAACAGGGCGUCAUAGAGGGUGAGAAUCCCGUCCUUGACAUGGACCCCCGGUGCUUUGUGAUACACUUUCAACGAGUCGAGUUGUUUGGGAAUGCAGCUCAAAAUGGGUGGUGAAUUCCAUCUAAAGCUAAAUAUUGGCGAGAGACCGAUAGCGAACAAGUACCGUGAGGGAAAGAUGAAAAGCACUUUGGAAAGAGAGUUAAACAGUACGUGAAAUUGUUGAAAGGGAAACGAUUGAAGUCAGUCAUGCUCUUAGGAUUCAGCCGUUCUGCGGUGUAUUUCCUUUGAGUGGGGUCAACAUCAGUUUUGAUCGAUGGAUAAAGGCACGAGGAAGGUAGCACUCUCGGGUGAACUUAUAGCCUCGCGUCAUAUACAUUGAUUGGGACUGAGGAACGCAGCAUGCCUUUAUGGCCGGGAUUCGUCCACGUACAUGCUUAGGAUGUUGACAUAAUGGCUUUAAACGACCCGUCUUG
rnacentral:rRNA from 1 species